UAAGAAAUUGAUGAACAACGAAGAGCACAUGUCCACCUCAAACCCUGCUUUUACAAAAGCAGAAUAAAGUGAAAUGAAACGAAAAUGA
rnacentral:lncRNA from 1 species